GCGGUAGUGCCCGAGAAACUUCAUUCAGUGUCUGUAAUUGUAUAAAAUUGAGUUAAGACCAACGUGAGGGCUGUAGGCGCACUCCAUCACAGCACAACAAGAAGAGGGUAGUUCCUCUUUCACAAGAUGGCUGCCUCAAAAUGAAGAAAAACGCAUAUGCCUCUGCCACUCUGGAAGGCAAGAGAAACAGAUGACUGACAUGUGUGCCCUACAAGAUUUCAGAAUCUAGGGGGAUGCUUUGUGCUAGGACAGCAAAGCCUGACCAUGUACACUAC
ensembl:lncRNA